GACGGGCCCGCACAAGCAGCGGAGCGUGUGGUUUAAUUCGAUGUUACACGAAGAACCUUACCAGGGUUUGACAUGCAAGUGGUAGGAAGCCGAAAGGUGACCGACCCUUCGGGGAGCUUGCACAGGUGCUGCAUGGCUGUCGUCAGCUCGUGUCGUGAGAUGUUCGGUUAAGUCCGCUAACGAGCGCAACCCUCGCUGUGUGUUAUAUGUGUCACACGGGACUGCCGGUCUUAAGCCGGAGGAAGGUGGGGAUGAUGUCAAGUCAGCAUGGCCUUUAUAUCCUGGGCUACGCACACGCUACAAUGGCCAACACAAUAGGUUGCUAAGCCGCGAGGUGGCGCCAAUCCAUAAAGUUGGUCUCAGUUCAGAUUGUAGGCUGCAACCCGCCUGCAUGAAGAUGGAGUUGCUAGUAACCGCAGGUCAGCUAUACUGCGGUGAAUACGUUCCCGGGCCUU
rnacentral:rRNA from 1 species